CCUACGAGAGGCAGCAGUAGGGAAUCUUCCACAAUGGACGAAAGUCUGAUGGAGCAACGCCGCGUGAGUGACGACGGGUUUCUGCUCGUAAAGCUCUGUUGGUAGUGAAGAAAGAUAGAUGUAGUAACUGGCCUUUAUUUGACGGUAAUUACUUAGACAGUCACGGCUAACUCCGUGCCAGCAGCCGCGGUAAUACGUAGGUGGCAAGUGUUGUCUGGAUUUAUUUGGCGUAAAGCGAGUGCAGGCGGUCGAAUAAGUCUGAUGUGACAGCCUUGGGCUCAACCGGGGAAUUGCAUCCGAUACUGUUGAACUUGAGUGCAGAUGAGGAGGGUGGAACGACAAGUGUAGCGGUGGAAUGCGUAGAUA
rnacentral:rRNA from 1 species